rnacentral:tRNA from 1 species
AGAAAGAUGCCUGACAAAAAGGAUUAUUCUGAUAGGAUAAAUAAUGUAAAAAAAAAAAUGCUCUUUCUG